GGGAUCUGGAGUUCUGCCACCUUUCUCCAGCAGAGGGCGUCCUGGGUCUCCUGAGCUGAGCCACCUGCACACCUGAGGCUCAUCCUCUCAUCAGGAAACCAACUACUUAAGCAGCGGCCAGACCUGUCUUCAGUGCCAGAGUGUUGCCAGUUAUGACCUGCCUGCCUGCCCUGACAGCCAAACCUGAAGAACCUCAAGCUGAGUCUGUUCCAGUUCUCAGGAGAGAACCUUGGCUGACCAUUCAAAGUCUGAGCUCAAGUCUGAAGUCAAGCUCUGCCGCUGCUAGCUCUCUGCUGAACCCUCAAACUCUGGACCCAACUGGUUCCCUCUCUCACUGCGUCAAUCUGAAUCUCUCCAGAGAAACCCUUGUGAAGUCAUCCCGGACCAGAAUCAGUAUCUG